AGCGAGAGAGAGCUUGCUUUCUUGAGCGAGUGGCGAGAGUUUGAUCCUGGCUCAGGACGAACGCUGGCGGCGCGCCUAACACAUGCAAGUCGAACGAGCGAGAGAGAGCUUGCUGUCUUGAGCGAGUGGCGAACGGGUGAGUAACGCGUGAGGAACCUGCCUCAAAGAGGGGGACAACAGUUGGAAACGACUGCUAAUACCGCAUAAGCCCACGGGUCGGCAUCGACCAGAGGGAAAAGGAGCAAUCCGCUUUGAGAUGGCCUCGCGUCCGAUUAGCUAGUUGGUGAGGUAACGGCCCACCAAGGCAACGAUCGGUAGCCGGACUGAGAGGUUGAACGGCCACAUUGGGACUGAGACACGGCCCAGACUCCUACGGGAGGCAGCAGUGGGGAAUAUUGCACAAUGGGGGAAACCCUGAUGCAGCGACGCCGCGUGGAGGAAGAAGGUCUUCGGAUUGUAAACUCCUGUUGUUGGGGAAGAUAAUGACGGUACCCAACAAGGAAGUGACGGCUAACUACGUGCCAGCAGCCGCGGUAAAACGUAGGUCACAAGCGUUGUCCGGAAUUACUGGGUGUAAAGGGAGCGCAGGCGGGAAGACAAGUUGGAAGUGAAAUCUAUGGGCUCAACCCAUAAACUGCUUUCAAAACUGUUUUUCUUGAGUAGUGCAGAGGUAGGCGGAAUUCCCGGUGUAGCGGUGGAAUGCGUAGAUAUCGGGAGGAACACCAGUGGCGAAGGCGGCCUACUGGGCACCAACUGACGCUGAGGCUCGAAAGUGUGGGUAGCAAACAGGAUUAGAUACCCUGGUAGUCCACACCGUAAACGAUGAUUACUAGGUGUUGGAGGAUUGACCCCUUCAGUGCCGCAGUUAACACAAUAAGUAAUCCACCUGGGGAGUACGACCGCAAGGUUGAAACUCAAAGGAAUUGACGGGGGCCCGCACAAGCAGUGGAGUAUGUGGUUUAAUUCGACGCAACGCGAAGAACCUUACCAAGUCUUGACAUCCCUUGACGAUGCUGGAAACAGUAUUUCUCUUCGGAGCAAGGAGACAGGUGGUGCAUGGUUGUCGUCAGCUCGUGUCGUGAGAUGUUGGGUUAAGUCCCGCAACGAGCGCAACCCUUAUGGUCAGUUACUACGCAAGAGGACUCUGGCCAGACUGCCGUUGACAAAACGGAGGAAGGUGGGGAUGACGUCAAAUCAUCAUGCCCUUUAUGACUUGGGCUACACACGUACUACAAUGGCGUUAAACAAAGAGAAGCAAGACCGCGAGGUGGAGCAAAACUCAGAAACAACGUCCCAGUUCGGACUGCAGGCUGCAACUCGCCUGCACGAAGUCGGAAUUGCUAGUAAUCGUGGAUCAGCAUGCCACGGUGAAUACGUUCCCGGGCCUUGUACACACCGCCCGUCACACCAUGAGAGCCGGGGGGACCCGAAGUCGGUAGUCUAACCGCAA
rnacentral:rRNA from 1 species